rnacentral:sRNA from 1 species
UCCAUCCAUCCGUCCAUCAUCCAUCCAUCCAUCCAUCCAUCCAUCCAUCCAUCCAUCCACCUAUCAUCUAUCUACCAAUCAUGCAUAUUCACUGUUACUCAUUUGACCAGCAAGAAAAGCAAUGAUACAAGAAGCAACGGGGUACAUUCAGCUAACGGCCUGGUCUCUGGAGUCAGACUGACUACAAUUAUUCCUGUUCUGCUCUCUGAUACCUCGUUUAGCUUCUCUUGGCUCUAUCGCAGCCACUUCGCCUGUAAAACUGAAAUGAGAAGAGAAACUUAGGUACAAAGUCAUCACCAACACUUGGUGAACUAUCGGCAGACGUGGCUCAGGUCACCCCCCUCCCCCAAAGUACUUCAGAUUAGUCACUGCCUUAGGCAUCUCUGGCCUUUAAAAGCGAAUCCAUGGUUUACUAAAUUCUAUUGCAUUGUAUCAGACACAUCACUGUAGUUUACAUAGCUCAUUUAAAAUCAGCAUCCACUUGAGCUUUUUCACAGGGAGAAGCAUGGCGAGCGAUCCUGGUGAAGACAAUAGUGUAAAAACCACAGAUAUUGUUAUAGCAAAAAUAGCAAUUCUGACGUCUUUUUUCCUUUCAUAGGACUAGUCUCUUUGAAACAAGUUUCUCCACUCACCGUGUCUUGCUUCCUUGACACUGUGAUUCAUUUCUUCCUUUUCUCUUACCUGAGAAAUGUCCUCUGGACCCAGCUUGACAACCCCCUACUAUAGUUUCAAUGACACACCCUGCCCCCAAUUUCCCAUGGGCUGUGAGCUAGGAGGUCAGAACAUCACCACAUCACAUUUCUCAUGCCACUGUUUUGGUAAAUAACAAAAGUGGGGGAAGUCACACUGUGUGUCAGUCAAAAGGGAAGUAACAAAACCUAUGCUUGUAACUGCCAUUUCUUCCUCUGCAGUAAUGGCGCUGUUGGCUAUUUUGGUUUAGUAUUUCUGCCAGUAUUUGGAGUUUUGACGUUCUAUUAUGGGAGUGGCAACUACAAGGUUAAAAGGAGAAAGUGUGUAGUUUAAGACUUCAGCUCUGGGAUGUAGGGAACCAGGAAGAAUCAGCCUGAUUAGUUGGAAAAGAAAUGGUUUCAGUUAUCCACCUCUGCUCACCCCAGGUUUAUAAAAUGUUACCAUUCCACUCCCACCCCCCACCUCCCCAUUUUUAGGCACUGGUUUUAUUUGUCACGCAGCAUGAAACACAUUGUGAAAAACUGACCUCUUCCUGCCCCAAUUCAGUGCAUUUGCCAAUGUGGACUCUUCAGAGGGAGGGAGAGACAGUUCUACACCUUGUUUAUUAUUCAAAGAUGCAUUCUAGGACCUCUGAUAAUCCGGUUCCUGACCUGCUUUUAAAUUUCCCUAGCAUGGGAUCAUCUCAAAUAGUUUGUUCUAGUUAAAUAUGAAACAUCGAGACUACAAUUCACUUAUGGGUCCAGACUAUAUGUCCAUGUAGGUACGCAUAUCCUGGAGAAUGAUGGCGAAUGAUGUUAAAACACAGUGUUAUUUUUAAUGAAUCACCCUUGAUGAUAGUGACGUGUUUCUCCAUAAUACCGGGGAUUAAAGUACUCUGUUAAUUUCUGGAUGUUAGCCAGAGCCUCGUUGCAUUGUUAGUUAUAUUAGUUUCAGCUCAGAAAUCAACUUUAGAGUAUAAUAUCUAAUUCUAAGAUCAUCAUUCAAAGCCUUCCAUAGGGGGUUCUAAUUCUAUUCUAGAAAACUCUAAGCAAGCUUUCAGCUAUCUCCAAUGGCUGGACAUUUGCAGGAUUCACUGAAGAGAGAGAGCUCGGCUUACAUAACUUGAAGUUGUUUACUCAGCAGGCUGUUCUGAUUUCUUCUCAGCCUUCUCAAGACCUAUGUCUGUUUGAAACCCUACCCUCACUACCGCUUACCUUUACUCUCAGAUGAAUUACUUACACUUUCAUAAUUUUUCCCGUUGUUUUACUGCUUUUUCAUUUUGGAUUUCUGUGACCAAUUUUAUUGCUCACUAUUUCUAUUAAGAUUACUAGAUGCUAAACUUACUGAGGUCAAAAACCCAUAUAACCAUGUAAUUGUAUAUCCCCUGUGGGGUUGAUUUAUGUAUCUGGUGCUUUCUGACUGAUCAAUAUCUUCCUAUUAGGUUGGUGCCUGCUGGCAAGGGAUGACAUUGCAGAAUGUAUCCAGUGCUGAGGCCAAACCCAUAAUUUUUCCUGCUUUUCUGGUGCUGUAAAGCAAUCUCAUAACGUGAGAAGCAUUGUUUCUUGAUAGUGCAUCAUUUACAAAAAAUCAGGAUUUUCUUUUGUUUCCUCAUUCAAUCUCUUGAUUACAUUAUUUUUAUUUCUACAGUGGUCAAAGGCAACAGUUCUCCUGAAGGCCAGCUGCGAUGCAGUUGCUAGGUGUCAUUGGAGAAGAAAUCAAUUGUUCAGCUGAUAACCUUUACUAUGGGGUUAACUCCAGAGUUUAGGAAUAUUAUCUAACAAAUUAAGGGGCAGCCUGCCUUGGAGAUGUGGGUGUUUUAUAAAGUAAAAGUUAAAUUAUCAAUUCUUGGGAGAUUGUACCACGAAGAGAUUGUAGAAACUGUAAAUUAUUUUGUGCUGGGAAUGCCAAAUGUGGAAACCAACAAUAAACAAACAAGCAGGUCCCAUCCCAGUGUCUGCAGGAUUGUUUCCUGGAUUCUCCCUAUGCCUCUCUGCUCCCACCUCCUUCACCAUAUUGUCCUGGAUUUUCAAAAUUCAAACUUAAAAUGAAGGAAAAAAUCUUUCUAUUUUUCCCACUGAAGUUUUUCCAUGACAUAAAUGUUAAAUCUAUGUUCCAGGUACGUUUCCUUUUAUUUUCUCAGCUAGCUGGCCUAUAUUUAGCUGUAUAAUUAUUCAUAUUGCCUCUUUCUCCCACACUGCACCCUCGGCCAGCUUCACUGCAGUGCUGUACCCCUUUCCUUUGCCUUCCACUCUACAGUAAACACAGCAGUAAUUACUAACAUUCAAGCACAUAAUUCAAGCAGUGUUAGGCUUUGCAUUUGACGCAACUGCGCAGAACUGUCUGGAUGUGCACUAUCACGGUAAAGCAUUUAAAUAGACUCCUCCCCAUAUUUCUCCCCCACCUCCCAUCAAUGAAACAUAGUUGUUUAUUAUAUAUGAAGAUUUCAGAGUUAUAAACUCCCAUGCAGCUACAAAAAUCUGGAAUAAAUGUCCACUGGAAGCAAUUUCCAUCUACACACAAUAAUAUACUGGCAUAUACAAACAUGGAAACACAUGAUUUUCAGAAAAAGGUAAAAGAACCCAUGAAUAAAUAGCUGGAGAUAAAAUAAUUCUUUUUAAUAGACAGGGAAUUUUAGUACCUUUGGAAGACAGAUGAUUGGAGUUAUAACUAAGUAGACACAAUUCCAGACCUUUUGAAGGUCUUUAAAGGGGUUCAUGCUAACAUUUCUUUAAUGCAUUAUAUACAUCUUUACACGUGAAGCUGUUAUUCUCAUUUAACAACUGCUGAAAGCAUAUCAUCUUUUUUAGUCUUGAUACAUUCGUGACAAUUAUGGGAAUCUAAAUUGAACAGAUAUGUAUUAUCCUGACAAUUUUUGCUCAUGCAGAGUCUCCAAGCCUCGGAGAAGAAAAUACUUAUCAUGACCUCAGCAAAAUCCUUCAGUGCCAUAAUAGAAAUUACAGUGAAUCUUGGGGUCAGUUCCUGCUUCAGCCUAUGUAUAACCCUGAAGGACAUCUUUAAGUUCUCCCAAGGAUGUCAAAAUCUACAUCAAUAGAGCUGCCACAACCAGUGCUAUGAAAUUCACUAACUCCAAAACCAUGGCCAGAGAGAUUGAAAUUUCUUCGGGGCUGUAUAUGCUUGUUUCUAUCUAGUUUUCAGAAUAAAGGGAGAGCAACCAAGGGAUUUAUUUCCUAAAAUUAGUUCUUCUUAGUUCAGAUAACCCAUAUUCUUGAUAAAAAAAAAACCCAUAGGGAUGCAAUUGUCCUAUGUCUAGAUAGUACUCGCAUUAUCAUAUAAGCCCACUUGAGCCCACCUAAUAUCAACAUAUCUACCCCGUGUUAAAAACAAAAAAUUACAGUGUUCGUGUCAUAAUGGAGGCUAAGUGACCGUUUUUAAAAGUAUGCUUUCUUUUUCUGUUUUUCUGUUUUUCUGUUUGUUUUGUUUUGUUGCUUUUUUUUUCUUAACCAAGGCACAGGGAGAAAUACAGAAGGCUUCUACAAGUAGUCUGUUAUUUCUUGAAGCUACGUGGGAGGUGAGGAAGAGAGCAGGCAAUUGUCUGUAAAUAAAUCCCCGAUGACAGGAUUUAUUCUUCUGCCUUUCUUUUAAUCUAUCACGCCAGCUUUAUUAAGACUUUCUCUAAGAUCUGGAUCUCAGAGAGAAAAUUUGGCCUCCAGCCCUAGCCAGGCGGCUCUGCAGCAGGUAAUGCGGCGCUGCAGCCGGAUCGCUGUCCGCGGUGCUGAAAGGUCAGGGCGCCGACACGGGCGCCGAGCACUCCUGUCCAGGGUGCUGAGCUCCCUCCACGCACCCCAACAGCCUAGCCCACCGCGCUAACCCCCUAGAGCUUUGCCACUCUGCAGCCCCUUCCCGCCUGCAGCUGACUUGGGGCAGGCGGCAUAAAUCAAGUCUGUGGGACGUGGAGGCUGCUACCGUUGCGGCAGCUCAGCUUGCCCAGGGCGGGAACUACCCCCCUUCUCCUUUCGCCUCCCCAGCGCCCACACCCUGCCUUCUCAUCUCCCUUGGGUAGCAGUGCCCUAAACACUACAGUCAUAAUCAUAGGGUUGGAACGAACGACAAGAUCAUGUUUUGCUUUUAAAUUCUAGUCUACAGGAAAAAAAACCGCAAGCCUAAUAACCUAAACAUAUCUCAAAACUGCAUCGCAAGAUGGAAGAGGGUCCCACGGCUGCUUCAAAAGAAUUCAGUGCGAUGAGUUUCUUGUUCCUGGCUUCAUGACACGUCUUCCCUUCCUGAGGACUCCAUCUCCACAGGACUGAUUCAACAUGAUGGAACUGAAAACUUCAUUGCUUUAAACAAUAAACAAACCAGUAUUGUCAAGUUUUCCAGGCUGCUCUAAACCUUACAAAGUUCAAGCGAACCUCCUGACUUAGCCUCCAGAGUUUUUGUGAGCACUGACAACUCAAAAACAGCAUGACACCUGGUAUGUCAACAACCACGGGGAAAAGGGACCAACUGAAGAGUAAGAAAACUUCUGUGCUACUCAUGGUGCUGUCAGGAAAGUAAAAAGACAACCUACAGAAUGUGAAAAAUAUUUACAUAUCAUGUAUCUGGUAAGAUUAUAGUAUUUGUAAUAUAUAAUGACUUAUAACACAACAAUGCAAGACUACUAAAUAAAAUUGGUCAUUUAUACAUUUGCAAAUAAUAUAUUAAAAUGACCAAUAAAUAUGAAAGGGGGCUCAAGUCAUUAGUUGCUUGAAAAACACCAAUUCAAAUUAUAAUGAUUUCACAAUUCCAAUCAGCUUAUCUGAUGAUUUGAUUGAGAAUGGGCCUCUUAGGGUAAAAUUGUCAAAUAUUUAGCUCCAGUUGGUGGGCCUGUUAAGGGAAGGAUGAGAAGGCAUGGCCUACGUGGAGGUAUGGCACUGGGACCUGGCUUUGAGGCUUCAAACUCCCUGGGCCAUCCCAGUGUUCUCUCCGUGCUUUCUGUCUCCCUUCUAGGGACCAAGAUGUAAGCUUUCAACUGUUCCUGUUACUAUGGCUUUGCUUUGCCUUCAUAAAUAUUAACCAUCUAAAACUUUAAUCUUAAUUAAAUGUUUUUUUUUUAUAAAUUGCCCUGGUCUUGGUGUUUUAUCACAACAAUUGAAAAGAAAUUAAGGAAGCUAUGGUGGUGAUGUUAAAAAACUUGUGCCAUGAGUUGAAGAGGGUACAGAGAAAACAGAACCUAUUUACUGCUGAAAGCAAUUGACAGCCACUCAGAAUACUAUCACAAAACUUAAAUGUAGGGUAAGAAUAAUAGCAAGCAGUUUCAUUCCUAGGAAUAUGCACAAUUAAUUUUAAUGUAUGCACAAAAUCUUCCACGAGUAUUCAUGACAGUGUCAUUUACAGCAGGCUAUCAUGUCAAUACAACCUAAAUGCCCAGCAGCUAAGAAAUAAACAAUGAAAAUGUGAUUGAGUCAUAUAAGAGAUAUUAUCUAGUUGUAAAAAAUAAAGUACCAAUGACAUUCCAUUACAUGAGUAAAUAUAAAAAGUGGUUUUUAGCAUUUCUGUUACAUGAAAUUCAUAUGCAUUUAUAUGACAUAUCCAGAAUAGACAAUAGAUUAACAGUUGCCUAGGAGACAGGGAAGUGUGAAAUGACUCUAUGGAUUCAUGAUUUCUUUUUUGGAACUCUGACAAUAUUCUAGAAUUAGUGGUAACAUUCCUUCAUGUUGCCAAGACAAGAAACCCCCAUUGAAUUACAUCCUUUGAAAGGAUGAAUUUUAUAGAAUGAGACAUCUCAAUUUUUUAAAAAUAAAAUCUAGAGAGAAUCCCAGAAUUCUGGUUUUCUCAAAACUCCUAGGUCAUGUUGAGUCUUUGAUCCACAAAUAGACCUAGGACAGCAAAGAUUUGGAGAAUUCAUUCCAAGGUCCAGUUCAGAACACAGCGCUCAUCCGCAGGUAUAUACUGCUGAAAGGAGGAUCCCUUUUCUAUCUUCAGUGUGAAAGGGGUCACUCCAAGCAGUAGAUUUUGAGCGAUUGACUAAUACAUAUAUCUCAAAAUGGGGCACAGCCCUUGCUCCAUCCAUGAAAUUUGAUGCUAUAUAUCAGAACUAUUGUUCUUGAGGCUCCGCCAUAGUUACAGAAUUGGAAGCAACUUUAGAAAUUUUGCAUCUAGGAAACCAUAUGCCAGGUGUGUUUGUUAGGAGUUUUAGGGAAUGGCAUUUGUGGUGGUUUGAAUGAGAAUGGCCCACAUAGGCUCUUAUCUUUCAAAGUUUGGGCAGCAGUUGGCGGGAUGUUUAGAAAUGAUUAGGCAGUGUGGCUUUGUUGGAGGAGGUAAACCACUGGGUGUUUUGUGGCUUUAGAAGCCCACAUGAAUCCAUCUUAGGUUUCUCUGCCUCGCGGCUGUGCGUCAAGGUAUGACCUCUCAGCUUCAGCUUUGGUGCUAUGUCUACCCUUCUGCUGCCAUCCUCCCCACCAUGAUGGCCAUGGUCUCACCCUCUGAAACAGUAAGCCCCAAAUAAACUUCUUUUCUAAAGGCACCUUGGGCAUGGUAUUUAUGACAGCCAUAUAAAAGUAAGUAAGACAUGGCUGCCACAGAAACAAGUUUUUUGAUUUUUUGUGAGUAUGUUGUAUUGCUUGUGUGUGUUUCAUGUACUUGUUAAUAUGGGUGUGCACAUGUAUCUGUUAACAUCUGUGAUUAGGUGGAAGCCAGAGGCUGGCAUCAUCUGUCUUUCCUUGACAAUUCUCUAUUUUUAAAUUUUAAUUAAACUUAAUUAUUUUUUCAUUAGGAAUGGUCUUUUACUAAACUUGAGGUUCAUUGAUUCUUCCAGGCUUGCUAGCUAGCAGGCCAGCAAUGAGAUUGUGGGAUCCAUAUGUUUCACUCAACCAUGAAUGGAAAUACAGUUUUCACCACCAUACCUGGCUUUGUCUUAGUACAUGUUUUGGUAGUCUAAAUUCAGGUCCUUCUGUUGGGAGUGAGGAAUGUUUUAUUGACUGCGCCAUCUCCUCAGCCUCCUUUCUAAAGACUGCAUUCAAAUGAAAUUUUACCGAGCACUAGAUACCGAAGUUGUGGAUUAAUCGUUAUUCUAUACGGAAUUGUAGGACACCACAGAGCUUUUCUAUGGCAGAAAACUAUUCAUCCUGUGCUAGAUGGAAAGAGGCUAUAAUAAUGAACUCUCUAGGCUGGGUUAUACCGAGGAACUUGAAAGAUUCUCUCACAGGAACAAAAGCGAUUUGAGACGCAGCAGGAGACAACAUACAGUCAGUCUCUCCCCCACUUCCAGCAGAGCCUAGAGAGUUUCAGCAUCUCUGUCACACAAGCUCAGAGCCCUGGAGGAUGAUAACGGAAGGAUAAUGGAACAGAAGGAAGAAGGGCUGAACAGAUUGGCAAAGAACCUUUAAGGGAAGGGUUCAUUCAUAAGUUGCCUUUGUUAAAUGGUUAGAAAGACAAAACAAGCUGGUCUACUUGGAAAACUUGACCCAGUGUGCUUUCCAACUUGGUCUAUAUAAGAACCACUCAGUAAGGUUUGAAAGUUGCAUAUCAAGCCGAUUACAUUGACUCUCUGGAAGAAGAACCCAAAUGUUAGUAUUUGUUAGAACAGCGGAGAGGAUAGCAGCAUGCAGCCCAGACUGAAAGUGAAACAAAACACGAUUUUAAGAUACAGGAUUGGACACACAGUUCACUUCCAUGCAGCGUAGCCUUAGUAACAACAACAAUAAUAGAGGGUAUUGAGUUUAACCUAACCGGGAACAAAAGAAGCAAAGAAAGGUGGGGAAAGUUCCAAAAUGAGAUUGAGAUUGUCUUGUGAAUAGAAUAUCUUGGAAAGACACAUCAAAGGGUGAGCAAGUUACCAGCUGGCUGUUUUGAGUAAAAAUUAAAGCAAUCUCAGAAUUUUCUUUAACAGACACA